UACAGGGAUCUGUGGGCUGUAGCCAGGUGCAGUGGCUGGAGGAGGUGAAGCUCAGCCUUAGGGGUACCUACUCCUGCCCCUAGCACAGGGGAACAUGGGAGUCUCUAGUUUUUAAGAUAAGGAGGGAGAUGUAAGAAGCUAACUACUGUGGGUAGUUAGCUCUCCAUUCUCAGGGUAUGUGAAAGCAGGGGUGUGCAAGACCCCCUUAGAGGUUUUGGGCAUAUUUAGUGACUUUCAGCCCAUGCUCUGGACAGGCCUCAGAGGCCUCUGCUGGGAUCACCUCAGUGGGAAGGGGAGGGACAUCAGCCCCUGUCCUGUCCACUAAGGCCACUUCAUUCAGUCCUGUCUUUGUAGUGGGUUGAGAUGCUAUUCUAAAGACUCCUUGUAAAUGAAAACUCUUGGACAUAAAUGGGUUUGAAAGGCCCCUAGGGAAGGCCCCUGCAGGGAACAUGAAGACCAGGGUGGGGGCAGGUAGAGGUGUCUGGGAUCAACCUCAGAAGACCUUCCCUUCCCCGUGUGGUUGGUUGUGGCACAGCCAGACCCAGCAUGACUACAGUACCUGUUUUUCAAGAGAAACCAGAAUGCUGAUUAUUAAAUGAUAUUCUCAGAUUUCUUUCUUUUUCCUAUUUUUUAAAAUGAUUAUUGGGAUUGAACUAAGGGCCUCAUGCAUGUUAGGCAAGCACCCUAUCACUCAGCCCCAGCCCCUACCCUGAUUUUGAAUGUGCUAACUGUAAGAUUUUAAAUCCUAGCUGCAGGCCACACUGGGCUACCACUGUCUGCUGGUGGCCUCUUUGCAUGGGAGGGAGGCUGCAAGCUUCUGUUGGGAGUCGAGGUCUUUAGUACAUCUUUUAUGUGACAGAGCAGUGUUGCCUGAUAAAAACUGCUAUGAUGGGCACAUUCUAUCAACUCCAUCCAACUACCGGCCACAGUGGCUGGCCAGCAUUUGAAAUACUCCUGAAGUAACUGAGGCACGAGAUUCUAAUUAAACAACAUAUGUAUUUUUAA